GACAGAGGGUGCAAACGUUGUUCGGAAUUACUGGGCGUAAAGCGUGUGUAGGCGGCUCUGCAAGUCGGAUGUGAAAGCCCCGGGCUCAACCUGGGAAGUGCACUCGAAACUGCUGAGCUUGAGUAUCGGAGAGGUUGGUGGAAUUCUCGGUGGAGAGGUGAAAUUCGUAGAUAUCGAGGGGAACACCAGUGGCGAAGGCGGCCAACUGGACGAAUACUGACGCUGAGACACGAAAGCGUGGGGAGCAAACAGG
rnacentral:rRNA from 1 species